rnacentral:rRNA from 1 species
CCCCGCAAGGGGUUAGUAGAGUGGCAAACGGGUGAGUAACACGUGGGUGAUCUGCCUCAGAGUGGGGGAUAACGACCCGAAAGGGUCGCUAAUACCGCAUAACAUCCUGCCUUUGGAUAGGUGGAGAUCAAAGCCGGGGACCGCAAGGCCUGGCGCUUAGAGAGGAGCCCGCGGCCGAUUAGCUAGUUGGUGAGGUAACGGCUCACCAAGGCAACGAUCGGUAUCCGGCCUGAGAGGGCGGACGGACACACUGGGACUGAGACACGGCCCAGACUCCUACGGGAGGCAGCAGUGGGGAAUUGUUCGCAAUGGGCGCAAGCCUGACGACGCAACGCCGCGUGGAGGACGAAGAUUUUCGGAUCGUAAACUCCUUUCGAUCGGGAAGAACAGCUUUCUAGUUAACAGCUGGAGAGUCUGACGGUACCGAGAGAAGAAGCCCCGGCUAACUCCGUGCCAGCAGCCGCGGUAAUACGGGGGGGGCAAGCGUUGUUCGGAAUUACUGGGCGUAAAGGGCCAGUAGGCGGCCAACUAAGUCCGACGUGAAAUCCCAAGGCUUAACCUUGGAACUGCGUCGGAUACUGGAUGGCUUGAAUUCGGGAGAGGGAUGCAGAAUUCCAGGUGUAGCGGUGAAAUGCGUAGAUAUCUGGAGGAAUACCGGUGGCGAAGGCGGCAUCCUGGACCGACAUUGACGCUGAACGGCGAAAGCUAGGGGAGCAAACGGGAUUAGAUACCCCGGUAGUCCUAGCCCUAAACGAUGAAUGCUUGGUGUGGCGGGUAUCGAUCCCUGCCGUG